rnacentral:tRNA from 1 species
GGGCGGAUAGCUCAGAUGGUGAGAGCGCCUGCCUUACAAGCAGGAGGUCAGAGGUUCAAAUCCUCUUUCGCCCA